AUGUCAGCAUGUGCGUGGAGGGCUGGAACCGCGCCUUCUUCAGCAUGGAUCAGAGACCGGCCAAGAGCUCUGGCAGCAGAGUCAGCUAGAGGCCAGCUGUGCUCCGGACAGGAUCAGAAGCUGGCUGUCUGUGCUUCCUUCCUUUUGCUCCUCCUCUUCAUCAGAUCCUUCUUUGUCCCUGAAAGCCAGGCCGAUGCCCAGCAGUGCACAUUCUCUUGCCCCUCCGUUCCUCUGAGGUGGCCGCAGUCUGAAGCCCCUCUGGGCCCCCUUGUGCCUGAACUGAGACACACAAGUAGAAAAGGACUCCGCAGACGGCUGCACCCGUGGUGCAAGAGGAGGCCCCGAGGCUGUUUGCUCCAGCACCUGAGCCUGGAAGGGAACACAGAAGGUGGCAGGGACAGCAGAGGGGAGAUACCUGUGUGCAGGUCCACUGGGCGUCGGGAAGGGCAGCACGGGCUGGACUGGGCUGAGGCUGGGGGGGGCCCCGGCUGUUUUGCCACCGGGUCGGGUCAGUCGGGGUGGGAGGACGAGUGGAAUGUAAACAGGCAUCUUUCCUCCGUCUUUCCCCGUGGUCCCGGCCACGCUGCGGAGACCGAGGGAGGAGACUCUGAGGCUGCCGGAGCCCGGAGACCGUGAAGCGGCUGGCCGCGGCAGAGGCGACCUUGAGACAGAGGAGAACCAGAGUGGAGCGGGAGUCUGUGGGGAAGAGGGAGGGGCGGGAGGAAGGAGGGUGCAGGGAGGGGCCUCUUGUCUGUCUGUCUGUCUGUCUACCUCCCUCCGUGCCCGGAGCGAGAAGGACAGACUCGGGCCUGGGUUGGGGGGGAUGGGGCCAGUGUGCCCUUGAGCCCCGGGUUUCCCUGGGCCGAAUCGAGGUCACUCGUGUGCUCCCCGAGGAUGCAGGCGUGCUCCUGCCAGGGGCUGCUGACUCCGAAUCCCGGGGGGCACCCCUUUUCCAGCCUGGGAGAUGCCCUUCCCAGUUCUUGCUUUUCCGAGUGUUUUGGGGAGCUGGGGUGGAGCUUAGUGGUACAGCGCUUGUCUAGUAUGCACAAGGCCCUGGGUUCCACCCCCAGCACUGCAAACAAAACAAAACCAAACAAAAAACCGAAUAAAAAAAUCAAUAAUAAAUAAAACUCUUGGUCGGCCACUAAUCUACUCUAGGCGUUGGAGGUGGGAAUUCCCGUGCCUCCCUCAGGAAUUCCCGGCAAUGACUUUCCCUCACAGCCCCACCCCAUUUUGUUUUUGUAAAUUCUACACUCUUUGUCAUCUUUUUCCUGGACAAAGUAUGUGGCCUCCAAUUUUCUCUCUGUAAAGUAGGGAUAAGGAUUCCUCACCAAGUAGUUGGGACGGUGGAAUUAGAUCCCACAUGAAAAAGAGAUUUGCAAAGUGCAAAUCUGCAACCUAAAAGAGCUUAAUGUUCCCAGGAGGAGACUGAAGGGAAUAGGAAGCAGAAAGGGAGUCUGGAGGGGAGGUAGGGGGAGGAAACCUCCAGGCCCCCUAGGUGGAUUUGGGCCCUCUGGCUCUAGCAGCAGACUCACCCCUUCUUUGUCAUAGAGAAGAGGGGCUCUAGCUUCUCCCCUCCACCUCCUUGGACACUCCCAACAGGUGAGGCUGGCCUUGCUGGGGUGCCGCUGAGGAGCGAGGGGCUCCUCUCCCUGCAGGGCUGGUGGCUGGGCCCCAAGUGGCAUUGACAGGGUCAGAAGCAGGUGCGGAUGGACUGCUGACCGACCUGAGGACCAGGAUGAGUGAGGUCAGGUAAGUGUGACCCUGGGAGGAGGUGGGGUCUGGGGCAGACAGACUGCUGGCUGGCGUGGGCAGUAAGACACUAGGGCUGGCUGCCCCGCUGCCCAGACCCUGUGGCCCCCUCCUGGGCUCCAUUCCUGGCUGGCACCCACCCUCCUGGCUGAUCUUCUUCAUCCUGCAGGACAGGAGGGCCACUGCUCACUCCUUUAUGUCCGAGCCGUGCAGGAGCCCAGCUCCUUUGCAGAAGACAGGUUGUGGCAGUUGACCCCACCCAUCCCCUGGGUGGAGGGACAGAUGCUCUGUUUAGAAUUUCUUCAGGGAGAUGGCCAACAAGGGCAUUCUUUCUGUUUCUCGGGCUUCCCCAGCCAACACUGGGGGAUUAGUCAGGACAGCUGUGGAGGUGGAGGCGUGGCCUUGGGGAAAUCCUACAAGUACACAGAGUGGCCCCAGGGAAGGCGGUGGAGGACAGGAAUUGUUGGUCCUCUCCUCCUGCACUCAGGCAGGAGUCUGAUGACCUGUGUGUGCAGAUUCACCAUGGGCAGCUGGAGAUGACACGGCUCCUAGUGCCUAGGAAGCCAGCUCUGGAGAAUCUCUUUUAUGAUUGUGUGUGUGUGUGUUUGUGUGUGUUUGUGCGUGUGUGCGCUGUGGGAUGGGAGCUGUCCUUAUCCAGGGUUUUCUUGAAGUUGGAGAUCUUGAGUCUUACAGCUGUUGCAUGCUGAGGCUUUCCAUAGUCCUAUAGGAUGUGGAGGGGAAAAUAGGAUAUGGAAGAGUGUAGGAAGGGUGAAGAGGAGAGGAAGAGAGACAGAAAUGCACAGAGCUGGCCUCUCUCUCUCUCUCUCUCUCUCUCUCUCUCUCNNNNNNNNNNNNNNNNNNNNNNNNNNNNNNNNNNNNNNNNNNNNNNNNNNNNNNNNNNNNNNNNNNNNNNNNNNNNNNNNNNNNNNNNNNNNNNNNNNNNNNNNNNNNNNNNNNNNNNNNNNNNNNNNNNNNNNNNNNNNNNNNNNNNNNNNNNNNNNNNNNNNNNNNNNNNNNNNNNNNNUCUCUCACACACACACACACACACACACACACACACACACACCCCAAGGAGCCAGUGGCAGCUCUAAGCUCACUGCCUUCCCUGUCCUCCCUGGGGCAAUGUGUGCUGGGCUGCUUUAUCUCUAGGAGAGAAGGAGACGGAAACCUCGCUCAGCAUCACACGGUUCCCCCCUGCCUCGUCUGGGAGCCAGUGCAUGCAGCGCUGGUCCAAGCGUCAGUCAGUUGUGUGAGUGGGUAAGUGAUUCAUCUCUUCUAGCUCCUGAUUUCUUCAUCUGGGGGAUGAAUAAUAAUUCCUGACUUGUCAGCUUACGCACUGUCAUGAGGAUCCAGAGUGCUCAGUGAGGUGCUAGACAGGUGGGGGGGGCAGUCAUUAACAGGUUCCCUUCCAUGUGGGCCACAAGAAACACCUGUCCCUCCAGACUCAAGGACCACCUGGGACCCUGUGUGGUUGCCUUGGCAACCCAAGGCUUGGCCAGCUCCUACUCUGUCUUUGGUUUCAGCUUAAAUGUCAAUUCUACAAGGGGGUCUUCCAGACCCUUACACAUAGCCCCAUUUUAUGAACCCCUGUAAUGUUCUGUGUGUUCCCUUUAGAGCACUUAUAAGUCAAAUAGUGUGGUUAUGUGUGUUAACCAUUGGUUUAACACCCAUCUUCGGCACUAGAGUAGAAGCUCCAUGAGGCAAAGGAGUCUGUACAUAUCAUGUCACCGGCAUGUGACACUGUGCCUGGCACAUGGCAGGCAGGUGCUCCAGAAAACCCUUGCUGCAUGAGCGAAGGCACUGCCGGCUGAGCACCAACCCUCUCGGCCCCCUUGCCCCAGGUCUCCUAUCCUUUAUCAUUCAAAGAACAAGUCAGCUGGGUAAUGGUUGCUCUUCCCACCCACUCAGCACUGUAGGCCCUGCCCAGCACCCAGAAAGAUCGCAGGAAAUUGCUAUAUUUAUUUAUUAUCUUUGCCCAAGGCUGCCCUCUGCUGGUUGAACAUUGCAGGGUAGCCUGGGAAGGACAGAAACCUUAGUGGUCAGAAACCAGCCUUCUGAGCCUGGCCCAGGCCUGGGAAGAAGAGGUCAGAGCUACUGAAAGGGCAUCCAGCAGAAGAGUCAUUCUGCAUCCUUCUGCUUGGCUCCCUCCUGAUCUCACAGGAGGUCCCAGCUCAGGAAGAGCAAGAAAUUAAGGAGUCUCUACUCACCUCCACUAGCACAGCUCAGGGGUAGAGAAGGGCUAACGGCUAUUCUGUCUCCUCCAUGGAGUGCUGGUGAGCUUUCAACAACCAGACUCGAAAACCAAAACCCAAGACUGGUUUAUAGCGUUUAUGGAUUCCAUGGUGUAAAUCUCCCACCACGGUCAAUUUCAAAAUACCAAUGUGAUGUUACCGAACAAGAACAGGGAAGAGAUACUAAGUAGCAGACCAUUAGAUUGAAUUUCCACCACACAGGUGCCGUGGACAUAAGUAACUUCAGGAGCAUGUUCAACAGCAAAAGACAGUAAGAUGAUUAGGAAGUGAUGAGUUUUGAGUAUUUAUUACAUUUGUUUUCAAUAUAUUUAAUGGUGAGGUUAUAUAAUUUGCUUCUCCGUAACAGCUAUGUCUAACAACUGACUUGCAAGAUUCUAGAAAAUAUGAUAAUCAGUUCUUGCAAGCCCCACAGCUAACAGCUGGCUCCAGAGCACCGCUGGCCUCUUCUCCCCUGCCCUCUCCACCCUCUGCCUCUUCCUCGUCCUCCUCCUCUUUCCUGGCUUUCCUGGCACUCUGUGUGGGCAGGAGGGAUGGGGAAUAUGAAAAAGAGCUCUACUGCAGACGCCGCUCUGCCCGGAGCCAGGAGACAUAAGGUGUUAAGGAAAGAGGAGAGGGAAACGCAAAUCUGGCUACUGAAGGACAGGGCGUCGCAGUGUGUGUGUCUGUGUGUGUGUGUGUGUGUGUGUGUGUGUGUGCAGGGACUGAGGUGGUGAUUUUGCAACUGGAUCACGAGGCUGUCUAGUGCUGCUUAGACUUGGGGGACAGGGCGCCAUGUGCCCUCGGUGGGCUCUACCUGGGAGGAGAGGACAGGACACUGGGGCUAGGUGAAGCGGCCAGUGGGGAGCCUGGGCAGGCAGAAGUCGGUGCCCGGGCAGAGACUGAGGUUGACAGGGUUACCGUCCAGGCAGAUGUCUUCCAGCCGCCUGCGGGUGUGUCUGUGCUCCUUGGUGUCACAGAGGGUGCCUCUCGCCAGGGUCUCUAUCACGUUAUUCUGCAAAGCACAGGCUGCAGCCGAGUCCCUGCCCAGAGGCCCCUCUCUCCGAAAGCCCACAUCCACCAUUGCCUACUCUGCCUUUCCUGGGCCACUGAGGAAACCAAGGCACAAAAUGUGGAAACCACACAGGGAGUGAGGCAAGGACACCCAUGGAGGAUGAAGGGAGAGUGAGGUGAAGGGAAGAAGGGUAGGAAGGAUGGAGGCAUUGACAGUAAGAGAAGAGGAGAGACAGAAGGUAAGAAAGGGGGGAAUGGGAAGUCAGGUAAGUGAGAUGAAAUAAAGAUGCAAAGGGAGAGAAAGUUUUAUAAAAGAAGAAGUAGAGAGGUGGGCAUGGUGACCCAUGCCUGUACUUCCAGCACUCUGGGAGGCUGAGGCAGGAGGAUCACAAGUUCUAGUCCUGCCUUGGCAACUUAGUGGCUUAGUGAGAC
rnacentral:lncRNA from 1 species